rnacentral:tRNA from 1 species
GGUUCCGUGGUGUAGGGGUUAACAUGCCUGCCUGUCACGCAGGAGAUCGCGGGUUCAAAUCCCAUCGGGACCG